rnacentral:rRNA from 1 species
UUUAUGGAGAGUUUGAUCCUGGCUCAGGAUGAACGCUGGCGGCGUGCCUAAUACAUGCAAGUCGAGCGAACGGACGAGAAGCUUGCUUCUCUGAUGUUAGCGGCGGACGGGUGAGUAACACGUGGAUAACCUACCUAUAAGACUGGGAUAACUUCGGGAAACCGGAGCUAAUACCGGAUAAUAUUUUGAACCGCAUGGUUCAAAAGUGAAAGACGGUCUUGCUGUCACUUAUAGAUGGAUCCGCGCUGCAUUAGCUAGUUGGUAAGGUAACGGCUUACCAUGGCAACGAUGCAUAGCCGACCUGAGAGGGUGAUCGGCCACACUGGAACUGAGACACGGUCCAGACUCCUACGGGAGGCAGCAGUAGGGAAUCUUCCGCAAUGGGCGAAAGCCUGACGGAGCAACGCCGCGUGAGUGAUGAAGGUCUUCGGAUCGUAAAACUCUGUUAUUAGGGAAGAACAUAUGUGUAAGUAACUGUGCACAUCUUGACGGUACCUAAUCAGAAAGCCACGGCUAACUACGUGCCAGCAGCCGCGGUAAUACGUAGGUGGCAAGCGUUAUCCGGAAUUAUUGGGCGUAAAGCGCGCGUAGGCGGUUUUUUAAGUCUGAUGUGAAAGCCCACGGCUCAACCGUGGAGGGUCAUUGGAAACUGGAAAACUUGAGUGCAGAAGAGGAAAGUGGAAUUCCAUGUGUAGCGGUGAAAUGCGCAGAGAUAUGGAGGAACACCAGUGGCGAAGGCGACUUUCUGGUCUGUAACUGACGCUGAUGUGCGAAAGCGUGGGGAUCAAACAGGAUUAGAUACCCUGGUAGUCCACGCCGUAAACGAUGAGUGCUAAGUGUUAGGGGGUUUCCGCCCCUUAGUGCUGCAGCUAACGCAUUAAGCACUCCGCCUGGGGAGUACGACCGCAAGGUUGAAACUCAAAGGAAUUGACGGGGACCCGCACAAGCGGUGGAGCAUGUGGUUUAAUUCGAAGCAACGCGAAGAACCUUACCAAAUCUUGACAUCCUUUGACAACUCUAGAGAUAGAGCCUUCCCCUUCGGGGGACAAAGUGACAGGUGGUGCAUGGUUGUCGUCAGCUCGUGUCGUGAGAUGUUGGGUUAAGUCCCGCAACGAGCGCAACCCUUAAGCUUAGUUGCCAUCAUUAAGUUGGGCACUCUAAGUUGACUGCCGGUGACAAACCGGAGGAAGGUGGGGAUGACGUCAAAUCAUCAUGCCCCUUAUGAUUUGGGCUACACACGUGCUACAAUGGACAAUACAAAGGGCAGCGAAACCGCGAGGUCAAGCAAAUCCCAUAAAGUUGUUCUCAGUUCGGAUUGUAGUCUGCAACUCGACUACAUGAAGCUGGAAUCGCUAGUAAUCGUAGAUCAGCAUGCUACGGUGAAUACGUUCCCGGGUCUUGUACACACCGCCCGUCACACCACGAGAGUUUGUAACACCCGAAGCCGGUGGAGUAACCUUUUAGGAGCUAGCCGUCGAAGGUGGGACAAAUGAUUGGGGUGAAGUCGUAACAAGGUAGCCGUAUCGGAAGGUGCGGCUGGAUCACCUCCUUUCU